rnacentral:rRNA from 1 species
UAGAUACCCUGGUAGUCCACGCUGUAAACGAUGUCGAUUUGGAGGUUGUGCCCUUGAGGCGUGGCUUCCGGAGCUAACGCGUUAAAUCGACCGCCUGGGGAGUACGGCCGCAAGGUUAAAACUCAAAUGAAUUGACGGGGGCCCGCACAAGCGGUGGAGCAUGUGGUUUAAUUCGAUGCAACGCGAAGAACCUUACCUACUCUUGACAUCCAGAGAACUUUCCAGAGAUGGAUUGGUGCCUUCGGGAACUCUGAGACAGGUGCUGCAUGGCUGUCGUCAGCUCGUGUUGUGAAAUGUUGGGUUAAGUCCCGCAACGAGCGUAACCCUUAUCCUUUGUUGCCAGCGGUUCGGCCGGGAACUCAAAGGAGACUGCCAGUGAUAAACUGGAGGAAGGUGGGGAUGACGUCAAGUCAUCAUGGCCCUUACGAGUAGGGCUACACACGUGCUACAAUGGCAUAUACAAAGAGAAGCGACCUCGCGAGAGCAAGCGGACCUCAUAAAGUAUGUCGUAGUCCGGAUUGGAGUCUGCAACUCGACUCCAUGAAGUCGGAAUCGCUAGUAAUCGUAGAUCAGAAUGCUACGGUGAAUACGUUCCCGGGCCUUGUACACACCGCCCGUCACACCAUGGGAGUGGGUUGCAAAAGAAGUAGGUAGCUUAACCUUCGGGAGGGCGCUUACCACUUUGUGAUUCAUGACUGGGG